rnacentral:rRNA from 1 species
AUUCCAGCUCCAAUAGCGUAUAUUAAAGUUGUUGCGGUAAAAAAGCUCGUAGUUGGAUUUCUGUUGAGAACGACCGGUCCACACAACGUGUGCGCAUCUGGUUCGGUCUCGGCAUCCUCUCGAAAGACGACUCUGCGCUUGAUUGCGUGGAUCGGAUUCCGGGACUUUUACUUUGAGGAAAUUAGAGUGUUCACGGCAGGCUAUCGCCAGGAUACAUUAGCAUGGAAUAAUACUAUAGGAUCUUGAUCCUAUUUUGUUGGUUUCUAGGAGCAAGAUAAUGAUUAAUAGGGACAAUUGGGGGCAUUCGUAUCAACACGUCAGAGGUGGAAUUCUUGGAUUGUGUUGCGACGAACUACUGCGAAAGCAUUUGCCAAGGAUGUUUUCAUUG